rnacentral:rRNA from 1 species
UACAGAGGGGGCAAGCGUUGUUCGGAUUUACUGGGCGUACAGGGAGCGUAGGCGGUUGGAUAAGCCCUCCGUGAAAUCUCCAGGCUUAACCUGGAAAGUGCAGAGGGGACUGUUCAGCUAGAGGAUGGGAGAGGAGCGCGGAAUUCCCGGUGUAGCGGUGAAAUGCGUAGAGAUCGGGAGGAAGGCCGGUGGCGAAGGCGGCGCUCUGGAACAUUCUGACGCUGAGGCUCGAAAGCGUGGGGAGCAAACAGG